UACGUAGGGUGCGAGCGUUAAUCGGAAUUACUGGGCGUAAAGCGUGCGCAGGCGGUUUCGUAAGACAGAUGUGAAAUCCCCGGGCUCAACCUGGGAACUGCGUUUGUGACUGCGAGACUCGAGUGUGGCAGAGGGGGGUGGAAUUCCACGUGUAGCAGUGAAAUGCGUAGAUAUGUGGAGGAACAUCGAUGGCGAAGGCAGCCCCCUGGGUCAACACUGACGCUCAUGCACGAAAGCGUGGGGAGCAAACAGG
rnacentral:rRNA from 1 species